rnacentral:rRNA from 1 species
UGAGGAAUAUUGGUCAAUGGUCGCUAGACUGAACCAGCCAAGUAGCGUGCGGGAUGAAGGCCCUCCGGGUCGUAAACCGCUUUUAGACGGGGAUAAAAGGGCGUACGUGUACGCCGUAUUGCAUGUACCGUCAGAAAAAGGACCGGCUAAUUCCGUGCCAGCAGCCGCGGUAAUACGGAAGGUCCGGGCGUUAUCCGGAUUCAUUGGGUUUAAAGGGAGCGUAGGCGGACUUUCAAGUCAGUGGUAAAAUCGUGUGGCUCAACCAUACCUCACCAUUGAAACUGGAAGUCUGGAGUGCACACAGGGGUGCCGGAAUUCAUGGUGUAGCGGUGAAAUGCUUAGAUAUCAUGAAGAACUCCGAUCGCGAAGGCAAGUGCCCGGGGUGCAACUGACGCUGAGGCUCGAAGGUGCGGGUAUCGAACAGGAUUAGAUACC